AACGAGUUAAUAGCACAACUCGCAGAACAAGCCUACAAACUACUUGAAAAAGAAUCACCGAUCCCAUCCAUUCCUUGCAACUCAGCCCACCAAGAUGGCAACAGAGAUGUUGCAGUCCACGGUGGCAAUCACGAGGCUCCAAGAAACAGUCAUGAAGUAGUUAACCAGCCAAGACAACACAGCAGUGAACGCGAACCCCGAAGGCAAAGCAGAGAUGAACGCGAAACCCCAAGGUGAAACAGGGAUGCAGGAGAGGCUACCUGCACAAAUUCAGCAAAGAGCCCUCGCUACCGCAGAGCGGAUCGCGAAGCCUCAAUCUUCAGCGACCUAAGAGAGCUAAUCAAUAACAACCAUCACCGCGAACACGAAUGUGAAGCCAAUGACUGUGAUCACUUCCCCACCUUCACGACAUGGGUAAUGAAGACUAAAUUACCUGAGAAGUUCA
rnacentral:lncRNA from 1 species